GUGCGCUUGGGUGAAAAAACUUCGUUUACAAAUCCAAGCAUAAAAAACACUUAUGCAGAAAAACCAGAUUCACGUUCAAAUCGCAAUAUCAUUGUCGCAUCUGUAGAAUUUGUCCUCGUUGCUUCAAUUGAUUCAUCGAUUCGAUUCGAUGUUCCAACUGAACUGCCAUCAGAACAAAUCAUGGAUUUUUGUUUGAUUCAUAGCUUCGUUCAUGCUUUGUAUUGACCACAUCGUUGCUCAUCACGCGUCUUGGAAGCAAGUUUCAACAUCGCGUUCUGGAAGCGUUCAAGAAUUGCGUUCUAGAAGCGUUCAAGAAUUGCGUUCUAGAAGCUUUCAAGAUUUGUGUUCGCAAUUACCAUAUCAAUUCAAUCGAUUCAGAGCUUCAGGAAUGGCGUUGCAUUCUUCACCAAGGCGUCUCAUAUUCGUAACGGUGGCGAUGUCGCAUUCGUGUAUCAGCUCGAACAUUUUAAAUACGAAUAAAUGCGAAUUUACAGCGAGAGAGAAGAACUUACCGACGACAGAAGGGUGGCAGAUGAAAUAUUUAGAGAUGGAGUUAACAUAGAUUAACUCUGUUAGAUUGAAGCAAGUUGAAUUCAGUUAGAUGUUAAUUACACCGUUGAACUUGUUUAAUUAGGGAGGAUUAUUUGAAUCAAGUGGUGACCUGCAAUUGCUAUUGCAGGGGACAAUUGACUUGGAAGUUUCAUUGUGAAUUGAAUUUUGUUAAGUAACAUCAUUUUAUGCAAUAUGAUCAUGAGGAUGAUGAAUGAAGAAAGAUGAAAUUAGGA